GUAUACCAGUCUACAAACGACAUAUAGCAAUAUGGGACUACCCCUUUCUCUUUAUGGGAGGCACCUAAUUGUGGUACAAUUGAAACAUACAUAACUUACCCCGGCGCGGCCACUGUGGAAGUACAAAUAAAUUGGGCUGAAGCACCAAUGACAACGGCAGAAAAUUAACUGGUGCUUCAGGGAGGUCGCGGCUUCGAACCCAAAUGCGUCUUACAGGGUUCAAGGCCCACUUAUUUGCUCAAGUUACUAUGAGUCCAGUUAUUUAUUCCACUAAUUGCAAGAUUUAAUUUUCUUGGUAUGAUAAACAUUUUGAUCAUACCAUGUCUGAUAUUGAGAAGACCAUGUCUAACGAGUCAGAAAAAUGAGAGGUUUUGACCACAGGUUUUCUGCUUCUAAGACGGCUAUGUCCAGAAAGUCAGAGAAUAAAGAUCAGAGAGAAUUAUUUUGAGGCCACUGAAACUGAGGUCAGCCAUAUGAUAAAUAAUAACCACGGAGGGAUUGGGGGUGGCUUUCCUCUUGUAAAGUUUGGAGCUCCCAUGGGUUGACAGUUUUUUUUGCUUACACUGGAACCUGCUACUAGUUUGUUUCCUGUAUGGUUAAAUUUGUAGAGAUUUCUCCAUUGAAAAUUUGAUGCAUUUAGGAGAUAGCUCAACUUGUUCUUGAAUAAUGUUGAUGAUUGUGCCUAGCAUUUUUCAAGAGAAAUACAAAAAUGGAUUGCUUGCAGUGUGUUCACGAUUCUUCAUAAUUACAUUCAUUUUGUCUAUGCUUUUUUUCAUAAUCUCAAUACCCUCUUGUUGUUUGCUUCCUUUAUGUAAGAGCCUUAAAAGACUUGUUUCUGAGAAUGGAAAGAGGAUUUUGAUCUUCUAUUGGUGUUUUCAAGUGCUCUGAGUUCCAACUUUCAAGACAAGGCAUGUUACUGUAUAACUUCUUUACUUCAAUUGUGGUCAAGGGGACCCCUUUAUGACAAAAUUCUAGUGCUUAGGAGAAAUAACUAUUAUCAAUUUCUUUCGUUAGAGCUAGUGAAAGGCCUAAUGAUUUGCAUACCCCUACUUUCAUAUCAACAUUUUGUAUAGAAUAGAAGAUGGGACCUGGAUUGCACAUCAAUGAUCAUUUAAGUAUAUGAAAUUGUUAUUGAGUUGGAAGCUAGAACUACUUGAAAUUUGGGUGUACUUGCAAUGGUCUCUACAACUGUUAUAAACCCUUCUUUAGUCCCUUGACCAUCAUCUUUCUUAUCUAGGACAAGAUCAAGGGAAAGGAAGCGGCAAAUUCCUUUUUUGGAUGAACAAGUCAAUAAUAGAGACAUUUAAAAUUUGUUUCUUGGAAAAAGUUAAUAUCGCUUCCUCUUCCUAAAAGAUAAAGUGCUCGAGGUAAUCAUUUCAUCUUAAUCAUGGGCAUUUAAUUUGAUUCAGCCAUUUAAUAAAAACUUCUUUGAAAGAAUGAUAGUUUUUUGGUUCUCCUUUGCCACAUUUGCUUUAUCAUACCCAACUUUUUGUCUUAGUAGAGGUUAGAGAACACAUGAUCCACACCAUGGGGAUGCAUUUCUUGUUGUGCCUAACACACUCUUGUUGAUACCCCAAGUGCUGUGUAAAACUUAUGCACCUAGAGAGUAAAAGGAUAGCUAUAGUCUCUUGUGUCAAUUCUUUUUCAGAUGCCUUGACAUGAGCUUGAAGAUCUGUCUAAUUGUCAUACUUAAUCAGUUUUACUCCCUAAAAUGAACUAUCUUUAUAGUUUCAAUGUUUUCACAAAGAAAAGUUCUGCCUUAUGGUUGGCCCACCAUUGUGCUAGAGUUUCAUUCAAGGUAUAUGUGAGUGCCUUUUGUCAGUCUUCCUACACUGACACUUAAAUUUUCAUUGUGCAAUAAACUUUUGGAUAUCCAUUAAGUUGUCAAUACCCAAUAAAAUUAUAGGAAAACUUUGCUUAUGUUGAAGAAAUUUUUAUUCAUAUAAUUCCUUCACUUUACGCAUGCACAUAGUUUGAUUUGGAGCUUGGAUUAAUCAUAGCAGUUUGGUGCAUUUUUUUUUAAAGUGUCGGGUAAGAUUUUUAACGUGAUUGGUGACGUUGGCACGACAUGCCUUCCAGCUCCAUGUGAAAUGCUUUUGACCUAGAGCUAUGAAUUGAUGAGGUCACAAACGAGGGACCUCAUCCCCAUAUAAUAAUGCUAAGGCUCAAACCUGUGAGCACAUUGGAUCAGAGGCACAAGCCUUGCGAUCACAAUGGCCCUGCGGCGGGUUCAACUUUGGUGGUCACAACAAUAACACCACCACUUAAACCAACAUACUAUAGGAAGAACCCCAGGUUGAUGCCUUUCUUAAUGUCCAUGAAGACCCCAGGUUGAUGCCUUUCUUAAUGUCCAUGAAGACCCCAGGUUGAUGCCUUUCUUACUGUCCAUGAAGAAGUAUGGAAUGUUUUUAGAUUUGUACGGUUCCUUUACUUUUGAGUAGACAUGAUCAGUCAACUAGUAGUUCAUUGCUACCCACCUCUCUAUGUUAUCCUCUAAGCCAUCCAUGGAAGUACAAUAUUGUGAAUAAUUCUCCUUCCUUUGUUGGUUGAAUGUAAUCAUCUAUGCUAUGCUAUAGAUGGCAAUCAGUACUUCUGCCAUGUUUACAAAUUUAACUCCCAUGAGUGAUUUGGAGGGUUGAGGGAAAUGAUUACCUUUUGUUCACCAUUGUCAAAGCUCAUGAUCAUUGCUUGAAGUGCAUAUCAACAUUAUUGGGACAACACCAAGGACCUUCAAGAAGGGAUGGAUAGUUUUCUACCUCAGCCAACUAGAUUACCUCAAAAUCAACAUCAAACCUUAACCCUUCAACGUUGACUCUAACAUUCCUGAGUAUGCCAAGAGGUUACUACAUUGCUUAGUAGCCAUGAAUAGCACAUUAGGAGAGGAGCUCCAAUACAAACCUCUCAAUACCAUUGAACCUUCUUUAUCAACACAUUUAAUUUUGCCCAUGUGUCCAAUAAGAUCUCAUAAACAUUUGGGCCAUUUAUCAUUUCACUAGUGAUCAACUCUAUCAUAUCCUUUAUUUAUAACAAUCUAAAUGUGUUGUGGUCCAACUUCUUGGAAAGGUAGUAGGAUUUUUGGUCUUUCUUUUUGUUAGGAGUACAUGGCUCCUAUACACAAAUUCGGUUAUUCAUCUUCAAUAUAUACAUCAUUACAUUCUAUGGCUUUAGUUAGAAGGAAGAAAGGCUUUAUAAAGCCAUAGAAUGUAUGAUGUAUGUAUUGAAGAUGAAUGAUUGAAUAUGUCUAUUGGAGCCUUGUGCUUUUUGUUUACCAUUUCCAAUAUGGUAUUAGAGCAAGUUUUUUGGACCUCUUUGUUUUCCUUCCAUUAGCUCAUCUUUCCUUCUCUAAAGUUGUGAUCAAUGAUGAUGCAGUGACCUGGACCAUGUGUAAAAGUCGUUAUUUGUCCACCAUUCUUGAAUUUUAUCACUAGAGGAGUAGUUUAGACCGCGUUCAAAUCUACUGGCUUCAUCAUCCAUCUGUAUUUCAUUUUUGCAUUUUGUCAAUAGAGGUGUAUUGCAGACCACAUGCAAUUCGGUUGACAUUGAUGAUCCAUCUGCAUUUGUUUUUUCUCUUCUCUCCAUCUUGUUCACACUUUUCAUUGUUUUCAUUCCAUUUUGCUCAUUUCAUAUCAAAAAUCAGGAAAAAAGAGAAUAAAAAAUAAAAAUUUAUACAUUCAAAGAUAAAAAAGUCUAAGGUGUUGUAGAAAAGCGUAGGAGGUUAAGGUAGUUGAGAAGAAGCCUUUUAUCUUUUAGUUAUGAGGUUUUAUUUGUUUCAAGAUUGACAUGGAUAUACUAUGCUACUUUGAUAGAUAUUCAAGCUGUACAAAGGAGGAAUCAUGUUCUAACUUCUCAUUAGGCACCAUUCUAUUGUUGGUACAUUGUUCUAAUUUUAAAUGGUAGUUUAACACAGUCCCACUACAACUGCAAUGUUUUUGUCAUUUCUUAAAAAAGUUUAGAAAUUCAAAUUUUUCUGAAAAUCUGAUGAAGAGAAGAACAAAACCCAAAAAUUAUUUGAGAAUACUAUUAAUAAAUUUGAUCAAAUUUCCACAAUCCAUAACUAAAUCAGUAAGCUGUU